rnacentral:tRNA from 1 species
GGUGGAGUAGUCAAGUGGUUAGGCAGCGGUCUGCAAAACCGUUUACGCCGGUUCAAUUCCGGCCUCCACCUCCA